UGCUCAGAUUUGUUGAAGAUUAGAAAGAGAUAGUAUUAUUCUGUCUUGUGUAUUAUUAUCUCAAGGUGAAACAUCCUCAAGAUAGAAGCUUGCAAUUAAUUGAUUAAUUUUUAUAUUUAUUAAUCUUUGGUUAUAUAAAAAGACUUUAAUUAUUCUGUAACGUGUGAAUUAUAAUUUCUAGAAGUAUAAUAAAAAGAUAUUGUUUCCAAUGUAUAUUCCAUCA